rfam:Hordeum vulgare subsp. vulgare, WGS project CAJW01000000 data, contig: morex_contig_1558520
AUAGUACUCCCUCCGUCCUAAAAUUCUUGUUUUAGCUUUGUCUUGAAAUGGAUGUAUCUAAAUACUAAUAGAUGUCUAGAUACGUUUAUAUCUAGACAAAUCAAAGACAAAUUUUUUGGGACGGAGGGAGUAAUAA